rnacentral:rRNA from 1 species
CAGUCGCCACGGUAAUACGUAGGGUGCAAGCGUUGUCCGGAAUUAUUGGGCGUAAAGCGCGCGCAGGCGGUUUUUUAAGUCUGGUGUCUAAGUGCGGGGCUCAACCCCGUGACGCACUGGAAACUGGGAGACUUGAGUGCAGAAGAGGAGAGCGGAAUUCCACGUGUAGCGGUGAAAUGCGUAGAGAUGUGGAGGAACACCAGUGGCGAAGGCGGCUCUCUGGACUGUAACUGACGCUGAGGCGCGAAAGCGUGGGGAGCAAACAGGAUUAGAUACCCCAGUAGUCCAUGUCUCUUAUACA